AUGGUUCUGCCCGGUGCGCAAGGUGCAUAAACGCUCCGGACCGACUAUCUACUCUCGGGAGCUGUCCCUACCGCUGGCCGUGGCUGGCGGCAAACGGCACCCACCUGUACACACGGGUCACGAGAGGUUACAGCUGCCGAACGGCCAGGGUGGUCCAUUC
rnacentral:other from 1 species